rnacentral:rRNA from 1 species
AGCGAACGCUGGCGGCGUACUUAACACAUGCAAGUCGAACGGGGAUCAUCGGGUUAGCAAUAACUCGGUGGUCCUAGUGGCGAACGGGUGCGUAACACGUGGGCAAUCUGCCGAGAAGUGGGGGAUAGCUCGCCGAAAGGCGAAUUAAUACCGCAUGUGAUUAGCUAAGACAUCUUAGCGACAUCAAAGGUGGCGCAAGCUACCGCUUUUUGAGGAGCCCGCGGCCUAUCAGCUAGUUGGUGAGGUAACGGCUCCCCAAGGCGAUGACGGGUAGCUGGUCUGAGAGGACGACCAGUCACACUGGAACUGAGACACGGUCCAGACACCUACGGGUGCAGCAGUCGAGAAUUUUUCUCAAUGGGGAAACCCUGAAGGAGCGACGCCGCGUGGAGGAUGAAGGCUUUCGGGUU